ensembl:snRNA U4 U4 spliceosomal RNA
AGUUUUGCGCAGUGGCAGUAUUGUAGCCCAUAAGGUUUAUCUGAGGUGCCAUUAUUGCUAAUUGAAAACUUUUCCCAACUUAAUAGAAAUAUAGUUAUCUUUUCUGUGUGUUUGUGUGAUGUAGUUCUUCAAUCCAGAAGGGGGAGCAGAGAAACUGAAUUUCUUCAAUCUGAUCUAUGUAUGUUGUUUCCUCUAUUUCAG